GCUAGCGUUGUUCGGAAUUACUGGGCGUAAAGCGCACGUAGGCGGCUUUGUAAGUUAGAGGUGAAAGCCCGGAGCUCAACUCCGGAAUUGCCUUUAAGACUGCAUCGCUUGAAUCCGGGAGAGGUGAGUGGAAUUCCGAGUGUAGAGGUGAAAUUCGUAGAUAUUCGGAAGAACACCAGUGGCGAAGGCGGCUCACUGGACCGGUAUUGACGCUGAGGUGCGAAAGCGUGGGGAGCAAACAGG
rnacentral:rRNA from 1 species